rnacentral:misc_RNA from 1 species
UCACCCCUCAAGCUCCCCCGGCUUGGUGUUGGACGGUUUAGCCUUGGUGACGAGGCCCGUUUUAAAGUCAAUGACGGCGGCCUGUUUAAACCCCCGGUACGCCGAGCUUCUUAACUGAGCACGUAUCGGUUGAAGGGUAGGCAGAACCCGGUCUUCUUCCUUAACCGGAAACUCUUUCUAA